rnacentral:rRNA from 1 species
UCGGAGAGUUUGAUCCUGGCUCAGGACGAACGCUGGCGGCGUGCCUAAUACAUGCAAGUCGAGCGAACAGAAGGGAGCUUGCUCCCGGAUGUUAGCGGCGGACGGGUGAGUAACACGUGGGUAACCU